GAACUGUUGUACUGAUCUACAACUCCUGCAUGAAAGAUAGUUUUUUUAUAAGCGCAGGAAAGAUGGUUUGAAGGAUAAUUUACCUUACAGUGGUAUAUUACAUUUUUGGUGUAACUUUUUACGUUAUCACGAGAGUAGUCUGUUUUUUCAUAGAGGAUAUCGUACCUCGAGCCACGAUACUCUAACCAACCUUUUUUCUCUAAACUUUCUGUAUGGUAAUCUUGUCUAUGAAAUACUUUAAAAUUGUGGGCUUAAAGUAGAGUUCUAGUGGGACAAAAGUGGUACCAAAAUCUUGGUCUGGAAGUAUGAGUUCCAUGGGAGAAAAGUUGUGCACCGGAUUUAUGACUUCUGGGAUAGGCAAACAUACACUGAACAGACAUGUAAGCGGUAUCCUGCCAUCAGAAAGAACUCAUCAGCGGUUAGGUUUUGAUGACCCACAGGGAGAUGUUAAUUCACUGCAACUUCAAAGUAAAUUUGUCAAGGCUAGUGGUAUCAAUGGCCCUGAUGAUAUUCACUUUCCUGAGGAAGAUAGCUUGACUGCAGUUGGUGGUCCUCUCCAAAACUUUUUGUUUGCUGGCAAUUCAGCUAAAACCGAUUUGUCCCAAGACAUACCAGUUGACAUUACUGGAAAGCAGGCGGCGCUGAACCCUGCAUUCAGAGUUGAACAACCUGUUAUGGGAAAUCAAGGUCUAGCAUACUCUCGUAGUCCUUAUGAUAUGAGGGAAUCAGGUAUUCCAUAUCAGAAUCUUAAUGUCCAACGAUCCUCUCAUCUCCAGCCCCCUCAGUUGAACCACACGGAUCCAAUGUUCAAUCAACUGAAUUCUCAUGCUCAUGUUAAUCCUUUUAUGAAAUUCAUGACUCCUGAGGGCAUGGUUCAUCGUGAAUCUCCACCGAAUCAUCAAUUUCAUGGAAAUAUGCAUCGUCCUCCUUUUGAUCAACCAAGUAAUGCUUUAACUGGGUUUGAUCCUCCUGGUCAUCAUUCUAUGUUACAGCAGAUGCAUAUGCAAGGGAAUCUUCCUCCACCUCGUUUACUCAGAGGAUUCCCAAGGGGCGUACCUCCACCAGCUCAUCCCAGCAAUCCGAUAACUAGUUUUAUACAGGAACCAAACCCAAUGCAACGCUUCCCAUUGAGUCGACAGUCUCCUUUUGAUGGCCCUGGCAUGCCACUCCAAGGUAACAGUAUUUGAUGUUUUUUUAAUAAUUAUUGUAGCUAACUUUAGUGUGCAAUAUAUUUCGACCCCUUCAGAUAUUUUGAUUGUAUUGAAUUAGGGAUUGUUUUCCAAUGACCCUUGAUGAUUAUUGACACAGAAUAGUGUGAUGCAAAUAAACUUUCUACAGCUAAAGUUUGUUGCACAUGCUCCCAAACACCGUUUAGAUCUAUUCCAUUUCCCGUGCAAUUCAUUUGUGGAUGAUAUGGAAGUUCACAAUUUUGAUGGUUGUAAUCGAGACUUACUAGAUAGAUUGAUCGUAAUUCGAUUGACCAUAGCAUUGUAUUUUGCUCUUCUAGCCAAAGAUUGCAUGACUUAUGUUUACAUAGUUAGUUAUUCGCAAAUCAUGACGCCCCACUUUUAUUAUAUAAAUCAUAUUAUUGGUUGAUGAUUUUCUGGCUUACACUUAUCUCAUCAGCCUCGAUGACUAAACAGUUUAUCCGAGCAUGUGCAUUCGCAUUUCCUGGCUUACAUACUUGCUUAUACUCUACCUACACACAUACACAUGCACUUGCACAUAUAAACUGACCCACUAUAUAUGUGUUAGUCUCUGAUUGAUGUGCUCAUCUAACUGCUUCUAGCUUUGAGUGACAAUAUUCACGGUCAUCUAAUACUUGUAAUUUAGUAAAGCUAUUUGGAACAUAGCAUGCCUUAUUGUAUUGCAAAAAACAGCUAAGUUUUUUAUUUUCAUUUUCCUCCUUUUAACUUAUUAUCAAAUCCUGAUUUAUACUUGUUGGCCAUUUUGUUAGUGCCUGAUGUUGUCCGCGGAAGAAAUCAUCCAGAAACGCUUCAGAAGCUUCUUGAGAUGGAACUCAGGUUACGCGCUAGCCCCGGAUUUUAGGUAUACAAAGUGUCUCAGUUACUGAUGUAUAUAGUACAUUGUAUUCAUGAACUGUUGUACUGAUCUACAACUCCUGCAUGAAAGAUAGUUUUUUUAUAAGCGCAGGAAAGAUGGUUUGAAGGAUAAUUUACCUUACAGUGGUAUAUUACAUUUUUGGUGUAACUUUUUACGUUAUCACGAGAGUAGUCUGUUUUUUCAUAGAGGAUAUCGUACCUCGAGCCACGAUACUCUAACCAACCUUUUUUCUCUAAACUUUCUGUAUGGUAAUCUUGUCUAUGAAAUACUUUAAAAUUGUGGGC
rnacentral:lncRNA from 1 species